UACGGAGGGAGCUAGCGUUAUUCGGAAUUACUGGGCGUAAAGCGCACGUAGGCGGCUUUGUAAGUAAGAGGUGAAAGCCUGGAGCUCAACUCCAGAAUAGCCUUUUAGACUGCAUCGCUUGAAUCAUGGAGAGGUGAGUGGAAUUCCGAGUGUAGAGGUGAAAUUCGUAGAUAUUCGGAAGAACACCAGUGGCGAAGGCGGCUCACUGGACAUGUAUUGACGCUGAGGUGCGAAAAGCGUGGGGAGCAAACAGG
rnacentral:rRNA from 1 species